rnacentral:rRNA from 1 species
AGAGUUUGAUCCUGGCUCAGAUUGAACGCUGGCGGCAUGCCUUACACAUGCAAGUCGAACGGCAGCGGACCUUCGGGUGCCGGCGAGUGGCGAACGGGUGAGUAAUGUAUCGGAACGUACCUUUCAGUGGGGGAUAACGUAGCGAAAGUUACGCUAAUACCGCAUAUUCUGUGAGCAGGAAAGCAGGGGAUCGCAAGACCUUGCGCUGAUUGAGCGGCCGAUAUCAGAUUAGCUAGUUGGUGAGGUAAAGGCUCACCAAGGCGACAAUCUGUAGCGGGUCUGAGAGGAUGAUCCGCCACACUGGAACUGAGACACGGUCCAGACUCCUACGGGAGGCAGCAGUGGGGAAUUUUGGACAAUGGGGGCAACCCUGAUCCAGCCAUGCCGCGUGAGUGAAGAAGGCCUUCGGGUUGUAAAGCUCUUUCGGCCGGGAAGAAAUCGCAUGGGUUAAUACCCUGUGCGGAUGACGUACCGGCAUAA